GGCAGGAUGGCCGAGCGGUCUAAGGUGCUGCGUUCAGGUCGCUGUCUCCAAUGGAGGCGUGGGUUCAAAUCCCAUUUCUGACA
rnacentral:tRNA from 1 species